rnacentral:rRNA from 1 species
CCGCAAGGCUGAAACUCAAAGGAAUUGACGGGGGCCCGCACAAGCGGUGGAGCAUGUGGUUUAAUUCGAAAGCAACGCGAAGAACCUUACCAGGUCUUGACAUCCUCUGAAAACCCUAGAGAUAGGGCUUCUCCUUCGGGAGCAGAGUGACAGGUGGUGCAUGGUUGUCGUCAGCUCGUGUCGUGAGAUGUUGGGUUAAGUCCCGCAACGAGCGCAACCCUUGAUCUUAGUUGCCAUCAUUAAGUUGGGCACUCUAAGGUGACUGCCGGUGACAAACCGGAGGAAGGUGGGGAUGACGUCAAAUCAUCAUGCCCCUUAUGACCUGGGCUACACACGUGCUACAAUGGACGGUACAAAGAGCUGCAAGACCGCGAGGUGGAGCUAAUCUCAUAAAACCGUUCUCAGUUCGGAUUGUAGGCUGCAACUCGCCUACAUGAAGCUGGAAUCGCUAGUAAUCGCGGAUCAGCAUGCCGCGGUGAAUACGUUCCCGGGCCUUGUACACACCGCCCGUCACACCACGAGAGUUUGUAACACCCGAAGUCGG